rfam:Photobacterium iliopiscarium strain ATCC 51761 CFSAN029430_contig0002, whole genome shotgun sequence.
UGACUCUUAUCUUAAGGGUCAACCUAGCCAACUGACGUUGUUGUGGAUUCUUUCACUUAACAAUGAAGCCAACCGAAACUUUUUAUCGGCUGGCUUUUUUUUU